AUUUUCUUAUACAGUGAUAUUAUAUCAUUGAAUUCAAAUUUAAUACUAUCCAUUAUACAGUGACUCACUUAUAACCUACUAUACAGCAGAGCGACAUACCCUUGCCCUUGCCCUUGCCCACAGUCUGAAAAUAUUGAAGUCAUAUAAUGAGUAACCGCGUGCAUAUUAUGUUAAUUAAUAAAUAAUUUUAAUUUUUCUAUUCGUAUACUUCCUCGUAUACCUUCCUCGUACCUCGGUACUUCUCAAAAUGACAAAAUGUCAUUUCGUGGUGCAGGAGGUGCUAUGAUAAAAAGUCUCGUUUUCGUAUUAUAGUAAAAAAUGUAAUUAACAUGUUUCAAUGUUUGAUCACUUAACACUUUAAUUGAACAAUGUUUAAAAUUUAAAUAUAUGUAGGUACCUACUUUUUGUAUAAUUGUAUUGUAUUACCAGCUGGUAACUACAUAUAACGCUAUACUUACUAGUGUUAUUAUAUUUACCUAUGUCUAUAUAUAACAUAAUUAAUAUAUAUAUUUUGUAUAAUAUGAUUUAGACUACAAAGACUAUACAAGGUGAGGUGAGGCACGUAUAUUAUAAUAUCACAAUCAUUACUAAAUCUGAUAGAUUUAGGAUCCGGAGUUCACAAAAAACAAACCUAUUAAAUUAUUUAUUUAUUUAUUUUGGCAGAAAUCGAAGCAUACUGCAUAACCUUCGGUGGAAAAUGGACAUAGUGAUUACGUCGACCCUUCACUUUGACGGAAAACGGUUCCGCUCAAAGAAAUAAUCCAAUCCACACGAAGCCCUAGUAUAAUAUAAAAUACACAACAAGAAUACGUAUUUACCUUUAUGGAGCCCUGGGGCAAUAAUUCUGAAACGCCCUAUUUUAAGAAUAACUGUUAACUAUGAUAUUAUGGAAUGGAUGGGUGAUUAUUAUAAAAUGCAAAUAUUGUCAAUACAAAAAUAUUAUAUAUUUAGAUUCAAUAGAGAGAAUUGCUGACCUAUUAAGACGAUCAUCAGUCAUUGUCGACCUCAAAUAAGAGUUAUGUCUUACUUCAGUGCUGAAAAUGAUAUCUUGGCUGAAUGGACGUUGGGCAACAUAGAUGCAUCAUUCAUGCUAUAUCUACGUAAGGAAUCGAUUCUUGUAAUUUUUCAGUACUGAUAAUUUUACAAAUUUAUCUUUUAUAUAAUUUUAGGUAUUUUGUUUGUGCUAAACUCAUUAAAUAACUUCUUAACUGUAUACACUCGUUAGAAAAUGAAAACAAAAAUGUAUUCAUGUUUUGAAGUAGGUAUAUUUUCUGCUAUUUUGUAAACUUCUGAUGGUGAUAUUUUUAUUUUUAUUAUUUGAAAUAAAAUAUUAAAUUUAGUCUGCUUGGUCAUGGUAAUAAUAUACAAUUUUUGUGAUAAUGAUAUAAAAUAACUAUUUUACGAUGUUUUAAGAUUCACGCCCUCUCAAACCUCCUUGUCUCCUCCCUAAAUACGUCCCUGCUUCUAUAAUGUGUUGAAUUAAUCAAG